rnacentral:sRNA from 1 species
AAUACGAAGGCCGUUCGCGGCUGGACUAUUUAUUACCCUUGUCCUUUGCGCACUUGUUGUUUCCUGGGCGGGUUCGCUCGCCACCAGGACCACAAUAUAAACCUUUUUUAUGCAGUUGCAAUCAGCGUCAGUAUAACAAAUGUAAAUCAUUUACAACUUUCAACAACGGAUCUCUUGGUUCUGGCAUCGAUGAAGAACGCAGCGAAAUGCGAUACGUAGUGUGAAUUGCAGAAUUCAGUGAAUCAUCGAAUCUUUGAACGCACAUUGCGCCCUUUGGUAUUCCAAAGGGCAUGCCUGUUCGAGCGUCAUUUGUACCCUCAAGCUUUGCUUGGUGUUGGGCGUUUUUGUCUUUGGCCCGCCAAAGACUCGCCUUAAAAUGAUUGGCAGCCGGCCUACUGGUUUCGCAGCGCAGCACAUUUUUGCGCUUGCAAUCAGCAAAAGAGGACGGCAAUCCAUCAAGACUCCUUCUCACGUUUGACCUCGGAUCAAGUAGGGAUACCCGCUGAACUUAAGCAUAUCAAUAA